rnacentral:rRNA from 1 species
UACGUAGGGUGCAAGCGUUAAUCGGAAUUACUGGGCGUAAAGCGUGCGCAGGCGGCUUUGUAAGUCUGUCGUGAAAUCCCCGGGCUUAACCUGGGAAUUGCGAUGGAGACUGCAAGGCUGGAGUCUGGCAGAGGGGGGUAGAAUUCCACGUGUAGCAGUGAAAUGCGUAGAGAUGUGGAGGAACACCGAUGGCGAAGGCAGCCCCCUGGGUCAAGAUUGACGCUCAUGCACGAAAGCGUGGGGAGCAAACAGG